rnacentral:rRNA from 1 species
UACGUAGGGGCUAGCGUUGUCCGGAAUCACUGGGCUUAAAGGGCGCGUAGGCGGGCUGUCAAGUCUGGGGUGAAAUCCCGCGGCUCAACCGUGGAACUGCCUCAGAUACUGACGGUCUCGAGGAGGUAGGGGCGAGCGGAACUGAUGGUGGAGCGGUGAAAUGCGUUGAUAUCAUCAGGAACUCCGGUGGCGAAGGCGGCUCGCUGGACCUCUUCUGACGCUGAGGCGCGAAAGCCAGGGAGCAAAGCGGG